ACUUUUAAAGGAUAGAAGUUAUCCACUGGUUUUAGGAACCAUAAACCCUUGGUGCAAUUCCAAGUAAAAGUA
rnacentral:tRNA from 2 species